GACAGAGGUGCCAAGCGUUAGGCGGAAUCACUGGGCUUAAAGCGUGUGUAGGCGGAUCGUUAAGUACCUUGUGAAAUCCCACGGCUCAACCGUGGAACUGCUGGGUAUACUGGCGGUCUUGAGCCACCUAGGGGCAACUGGAACAAGCGGUGGAGCGGUGAAAUGCGUAGAUAUUCGCAAGAACACCAGUGGCGAAGGCGGCUCACUGGCCCGGUACUGACGCUGAGGUGCGAAAGCGUGGGGAGCAAACAGG
rnacentral:rRNA from 1 species